UGGUGGAGUGAUUUGUCUGGUUAAUUCCGAUAACGAACGAGACCUCAGCUUGCUAAUUAGUGGUGAAUAGGCUCUGCCUAUUUUACAACUUCUUAGAGGGACUAUCGGUGAUUAGCCGAUGGAAGUUUGAGGCAAUAACA
rnacentral:rRNA from 1 species